CAAUAGCGUAUAUUAAAGUUGUUGCAGUUAAAAGGCUCGUAGUUGGAUUUCUGUUCUUGGGAUCUGGUCCGCCUCACGGUGAGCACUGGAUAACUGGGGACAUCCUCUCGAAGGCGGCAGGUGCACUUGAUUGUGUGUUUGUUGAAUUCGGGACCUUUACUUUGAAAAAAUUAGAGUGUUCAAAGCAGGCGUCGGCUUGAAUACAUUAGCAUGGAAUAAUGGAAUAGGACUUUGGUUCUAUUUUGUUGGUUUCUAGGACCGAAGUAAUGAUUAAUAGGGACAGUUGGGGGCAUUAGUAUUUAAUUGUCAGAGGUGAAAUUCUUGGAUUUAUGAAAGACUAACUACUGCGAAAGCAUUUGCCAAGGAUGUUUUCAUUAA
rnacentral:rRNA from 1 species